GAUGAACGCUGGCGGCGUGCCUAAUACAUGCAAGUCGAGCGAACAGACGAGAAGCUUGCUUCUCUGAUGUUAGCGGCGGACGGGUGAGUAACACGUGGAUAACCUACCUAUAAGACUGGGAUAACUUCGGGAAACCGGAGCUAAUACCGGAUAAUAUUUUGAACCGCAUGGUUCAAAAGUGAAAGACGGUCUUGCUGUCACUUAUAGAUGGAUCCGCGCUGCAUUAGCUAGUUGGUAAGGUAACGGCUUACCAAGGCAACGAUGCAUAGCCGACCUGAGAGGGUGAUCGGCCACACUGGAACUGAGACACGGUCCAGACUCCUACGGGAGGCAGCAGUAGGGAAUCUUCCGCAAUGGGCGAAAGCCUGACGGAGCAACGCCGCGUGAGUGAUGAAGGUCUUCGGAUCGUAAAACUCUGUUAUUAGGGAAGAACAUAUGUGUAAGUAACUGUGCACAUCUUGACGGUACCUAAUCAGAAAGCCACGGCUAACUACGUGCCAGCAGCCGCGGUAAUACGUAGGUGGCAAGCGUUAUCCGGAAUUAUUGGGCGUAAAGCGCGCGUAGGCGGUUUUUUAAGUCUGAUGUGAAAGCCCACGGCUCAACCGUGGAGGGUCAUUGGAAACUGGAAAACUUGAGUGCAGAAGAGGAAAGUGGAAUUCCAUGUGUAGCGGUGAAAUGCGCAGAGAUAUGGAGGAACACCAGUGGCGAAGGCGACUUUCUGGUCUGUAACUGACGCUGAUGUGCGAAAGCGUGGGGAUCAAACAGGAUUAGAUACCCUGGUAGUCCACGCCGUAAACGAUGAGUGCUAAGUGUUAGGGGGUUUCCGCCCCUUAGUGCUGCAGCUAACGCAUUAAGCACUCCGCCUGGGGAGUACGACCGCAAGGUUGAAACUCAAAGGAAUUGACGGGGACCCGCACAAGCGGUGGAGCAUGUGGUUUAAUUCGAAGCAACGCGAAGAACCUUACCAAAUCUUGACAUCCUUUGACAACUCUAGAGAUAGAGCUUUCCCCUUCGGGGGACAAAGUGACAGGUGGUGCAUGGUUGUCGUCAGCUCGUGUCGUGAGAUGUUGGGUUAAGUCCCGCAACGAGCGCAACCCUUAAGCUUAGUUGCCAUCAUUAAGUUGGGCACUCUAAGUUGACUGCCGGUGACAAACCGGAGGAAGGUGGGGAUGACGUCAAAUCAUCAUGCCCCUUAUGAUUUGGGCUACACACGUGCUACAAUGGACAAUACAAAGGGCAGCGAAACCGCGAGGUCAAGCAAAUCCCAUAAAGUUGUUCUCAGUUCGGAUUGUAGUCUGCAACUCGACUACAUGAAGCUGGAAUCGCUAGUAAUCGUAGAUCAGCAUGCUACGGUGAAUACGUUCCCGGGUCU
rnacentral:rRNA from 1 species